rnacentral:lncRNA from 1 species
GUCAUCACCUACUUCUUCACAUCCUCCAUGACGGUGAGGGACAUGGCAAUGAAGGCAACAUCUGAGAAAGCAUCAUGCAUGAAUCAUCUCCCCUCCUCCCUCCCUCUCUUGUAGGUGGCCAUUGGCCAGAUCUUGCCUACAGGAAUAAAGAGGAUGAAGAAGGUGUGAUGGACAAGGAUGGAGAGAGCAUCAUCCUAGCCUUGUCAUUUUAGGUGCGGUAGGAUCAAUAUAUUCUAUAAUAGCAAUGUUCUCAUGCUUUACAAUAGCAUAGCCAAAUUAUAUAUA